rnacentral:lncRNA from 1 species
CUUUGUGUAAUGAAGAAGUAAGGCCGUUCAGAACGAGGUUCAAGGGAAGUGUACUUUUUGAUAGAGGCGCGACCUGGAAGCACGCUCCACUUUGUUUUCCUCCGGUAUUGAACGCAGUUCAUCCCGUCUUAAAUUUGAUCGAUUAUUUACAUAAAAAAAAUACCUAAAGUUGUAUUAGGAAAGUUGUUUGCUGAAAAUUGUCAGAGUACAGGUAACUUAUGAGAGAUUUUGUAGUCAUGUUGCGCAAGUUGGAACUGGUGUUUUUCUGGAGCAAACGCGCCAAAUAAAUGGACAUUUUGGAUAUAUAACGACGGGAUGAAUCGAACAAAAGGACCAUUUGUGAUGUUUAUGGGACAUAUCGGAGUGCCAACAGAAGAAGCUCGUCAAAGGAGGACCUGAGCCCUAGGAUAAUGCAAAGGACUACCUGGACUGAUGACUCCUGGCUGUCCCCAUUGCCAGUCCACUUGUUCAUGCUGCGGAUCCAGUUUCUGCUGAUCUGCCUGCGGCUAUGAAACCCUGACCUGUUCACCGGAUGUGCUACCUUGUCAUGCUGCAGUCUCUCUCGGCUCUGAAUAGCCAACUGACAUUUACUCCUGAGGUGUUGAUCUGUUGCACCCGCUAUAACCACUGAUUAUUAUUUGACCCUGCUGGUCAUCUAUGAACAUCUUCCAGAACGAUAUGGCCAUGUACUUUAAUCUAAACCCAGCACACACAGAAGAGGACUGGCCAGCCACCCCUCAAAGCCUGGUUACUCUAGGUUUCUUCCUAGGUCUUUUUAGGGAGUUUUUCCCUAGCCACCAUGCUUCUACAUCUGCAUUGCUUGAACUCUCAGGUUUUAGGCUCGGUUUCUGUAGAAGCACUUUGACAACUGCUGAUGUAAAAAGAGCUUUACAAAUAUAUUUGAUUGAUUGGGUGUGUAUUUUAAUAAAUCUAUUGAAUAUACACCAUCCCAAAGAAAUCCUUUAUGGAUUUGUUUAGGCAUGUCUUAAGAAACAUUUUAAAACCAUGUAUUUUUAAAAAAAAAAUAGCAUAUGAGUUUAAUUAUGCUACUGGUCUGGGUAGCCUAUAGGCUACAUGGCUGUGCCAUGCAACUUAAAUAGUUAUUUUGUUCAUUAAAACAGACAUUCCCCUGCCCUUAUCACAGUCAGUCAACACACAUAUACAGUAUUUUAUAGUAAGAAUAUAAUGGAAUAUAAAUAAAACAUUUCAGACAACUUGAGAUCCUUAAAAAAAAAAAACUUCUAUUUUGACAGAGCCCAUGCCCUCAUUUCUGAGUUUGUAGGUGCUUGUAUGUUCUUUAGAAACAUUAGAAUCUUUCCGAUCAUGUAAACACAUAAAACCUGGAUGAACCCUACCCUCACUCCGCUUUGUGAGAUAUCAUGCACAUUGAUAGCGUUCCAGCAAGCAUCCUUGCCAACUGAUUUUAUCAUAGUAGUAGCAAAAUGUCAUCUAAAUAGGACUAAUCGCAGCAAAACACACUCACAUAAAUGUCCAACAACAUAUUGUACUCUACAGUAUUGCUUUCUGACUCCAGGAGAAGAGGACUAGCGGAGCGGCUUGUGUAAUGGCACAUGGGCUCGCCUGGAAAAGAGAG